rnacentral:rRNA from 1 species
GAUGAACGCUAGCGGCAGACCUAACACAUGCAAGUCGAGGGGUAGCAGGAUUAAGCUUGCUUAAUUGCUGACGACCGGCGCACGGGUGCGUAACGCGUAUGCAACCUACCUUAUACUGGGGUAUAGCCCGGAGAAAUUCGGAUUAAUCCCCCAUAGUACUAAUGAAUCGCAUGGUUUAUUAGUUAAAGCAUUGCGGUAUAAGAUGGGCAUGCGUCCUAUUAGCUAGAUGGUGAGGUAACGGCUCACCAUGGCUACGAUAGGUAGGGGGCCUGAGAGGGUGGUACCCCCCACUGGUACUGAGACACGGACCAGACUCCUACGGGAGGCAGCAGUAAGGAAUAUUGGUCAAUGGGCGCAAGCCUGAACCAGCCAUGCCGCGUGCAGGAAGAAUGCCCUAUGGGUUGUAAACUGCUUUUAUUUGGGAAUAAACCUCUUUACGUGUAGAGAGCUGAAGGUACCAAAUGAAUAAGCACCGGCUAACUCCGUGCCAGCAGCCGCCGUAA